rnacentral:rRNA from 1 species
GACGAACGCUGGCGGCGUGCUUAACACAUGCAAGUCGAGCGGUAAGGCCCUUUCGGGGGUACACGAGCGGCGAACGGGUGAGUAACACGUGGGUGACCUGCCCUCAGCUCUGGGAUAAGCCUGGGAAACUGGGUCUAAUACCGGAUAUGACUCCAUGACGCAUGUUGUGGGGUGGAAAGCCUUGUGCGGCUGAGGAUGGGCCCGCGGCCUAUCAGCUUGUUGGUGGGGGAUGGCCUACCAAGGCGACGACGGGUAGCCGGCCUGAGAGGGCGACGGCCACACUGGGACUGAGACACGGCCCAGACUCCUACGGGAGGCAGCAGUGGGGAAUCUUGCGCAAAUGGGCGAAAGCCUGACGCAGCGACGCCGCGU